AAGCCAAUGAGGAUUAGUUUUGCUUAAUAGUUGGAAUUACCGGCUGAAUUCUUUGAUGUCAAAUGCAGACUGCUUUCUGAGGCUUCAU